UGGUGGCGAUAGCGAAGAGGUCACACCCGUUCCCAUACCGAACACGGAAGUUAAGCUCUUCAGCGCCGAUGGUAGUUGGGGGCUGUCCCCCUGUGAGAGUAGGACGUUGCCA
rnacentral:rRNA from 1 species